rnacentral:lncRNA from 1 species
GAAUUGAGUGAAUAGGAGAAAUUCUCUUCUGAAUUUAUUGGGAUUUUCUGAGAAGGACCCCAUUCUUUGUUGGAAAUGUUCUAGAUCACUAAUUGAGAAAGAAAUGUGAAGGCAAACAGGCCCCUCAAAGCCUACUACCUCACAGAGGGGUAGAACAGGAUAAGAAGUGGUCUGAGGAGGUAUCAAGAGAGAAGAAAGAGUGUGAAAAUAGCCCCUGCUCUUGGCUCCUGCUCCUGGAUUUUGGCACCAGAUGAGUAGGAAAGAAAGGACAUGAACUCAACAGUCCAAGCAGGUUUAUUGCUAAACCUGAGAGGGACCUCUCUGAGCAAGAGGAAUCAAGAUGUGUCAGCUGUAGGAAAUAAGGUCAUCUAUGAGAAGGAAGUGAGGAACAUACAGGUACAUGUCUAGCAUGGCAUUCAAAACACAUGAACAGCGUGCCUUGCCCCAUGAUGCAUCUGCUGGCAAAUGGAGAUUAUGUCAAGG